GUCUCAGGAUGCAACCAAUUUCGAAUUCUUUGUACGGUUUUUUCUCAACCGCUCAUUCUUUAUAUUACGGCUACGAUCCCGCAACCUCUUUUUCUCUUAUCAGCGGCAUUAAUUAGGUCAUCUUAAUUACCGCCGUCUCUUCAUCAUUAUAACCGUCAUUAUAACCGGCCUCAGAACUCGCUUCGACGCGAUUGUUCGACGCGACGGCUCUCUUUACUAAACUCUUUCCCAAGUUUCAUUCUUUUACUUUUAACUCAAGAGUUUUCUUCUUCGCCUCAUCUUCUCUGAUCUCCAUCUUUGAUCUCUAUCUAUUUUC
rnacentral:lncRNA from 1 species